rnacentral:rRNA from 1 species
GACGAACGCUGGCGGCGUGCUUAACACAUGCAAGUCGAGCGGUAAGGCCCUUUCGGGGGUACACGAGCGGCGAACGGGUGAGUAACACGUGGGUGACCUGCCCUUAGCUCUGGGAUAAGCCUGGGAAACUGGGUCUAAUACCGGAUAUGACUCCAUGACGCAUGUUGUGGGGUGGAAAGCCUUGUGCGGCUGAGGAUGGGCCCGCGGCCUAUCAGCUUGUUGGUGGGGUGAUGGCCACCAAGGCGACGACGGGUAGCCGGCCUGAGAGGGCGACCGGCCACACCGGGGACUGAGAUACGGCCCAGACUCCUACGGGAGGCAGCAGUGGGGAAUCUUGCGCAAUGGGCGAAAGCCUGACGCAGCGACGCCGCGUGAGGGAUGACGGCCUCGGUUGUAAC